GGAUAUUCUGGUGCACAUGGGUAAGAGUUUGGUUAGAGAAGAUUCUGAGGAGUCGGGCUGCUGGGUUAUAGGGCAUAUGUACUUUCCUCUUUACUAGAUCACUUAUGUACUUUUUAAUUCUGAAAAUGUUUCUCAGGGAAACAGUGCUUUAACACCCUAGCAUUGUUUGGGGUAGAGGAAAUGAGGUAUGCCUGCCCUUGCAGUUUGACCGGCCCGCCUUCUGUCCUCAGAACCUCGUCCCCUCCAGCCCAGACACCUUGUUUCCUCUGGCACCCAGAGGCUGGAGCCCCUUGGCAGCAGGCUCCUCUCUGGUCUCCCCGCCUCAGUGAUGCAGUUGGGCGGAGGUGGAAGCAGGCUGAGAAUGAGGAAGUGGAAACCAAAUAUGAGGGCCACAGAGAAGUCCGGUGCACAAACCUCAAUGUUUCAGCAGCACACUCGCUGGGAGAAGAACGUGCAAGCUGCCUGUGGAGCACGCCCAGCAGGCACAAAGCCCACUGGUGCCAAGGCGUGCUACUGGACAACCCACCACUUUGCAGUGGGUUCCUGUACAUAAGUCACUCCGUGCCAUCCUCACUCCAUCUUGUGAGCUGCCGACCCCUGCCCAGACCUCCCCACACACACCCUGAAGUAUUCCUGGCCUCACUUCCUGCAGCCUUGGGAAGUGGCUGGUAUGAGGAAGACCCGCGGCACGCAGGGAGGAAGUGGGCCAGCCGGGCCCUCACCAUCUGCAGCGGCCACACUGCUUCGGUGCAGCCUACAGCUCAAACGGUUGCAAACGCUGGCACCUGGAGAAAAGAAGGAAAGUAAAUGACUGAGGCAGAGCAUGGAGGGUGGGCCUUCGGGCAAAGCAAGCCUGGCUGGAGAGUGAGUGACAAGUGCUCAUCGACUGCGAGUUCUUCAGAAGCCAGAGAGGUGAUUCUCUUGCAAAUGGGAUUCAGGAGUGAGGAGGAAGCAAGCCAGUUCCCACAUCCCUGAGGGAAAAGGCAGGCAGAACUCCAAGAGGAAGGAAGUCAUCAGGGAGUCGGUGGGGCACUGGUAGUCACCUGACCCCCACAUCAUCUUCCCGUGGAUCAUCACGCAUGCAGCAGCUGCAACCCCCAGAGGCUUGUGGUCUGGCUGG
ensembl:lncRNA